rnacentral:rRNA from 1 species
GAUGAACGCUAGCGACAGGCCUAACACAUGCAAGUCGAGGGGUAACAUUAUUAAGGCUUGCUUUAAUAGAUGACGACCGGCGCACGGGUGCGUAACGCGUAUGCAACCUACCCAUUACAGGAGGAUAGCCCAGAGAAAUUUGGAUUAAUACUCCAUAGUAUUUACUGAAAGCAUUUUUAGUAUUUUAAAAGAUUCGUCUGGUAAUGGAUGGGCAUGCGUAUGAUUAGUUAGUUGGUAGGGUAACGGCCUACCAAGACGACGAUCAUUAGGGGUUCUGAGAGGAUAGUCCCCCACACUGGUACUGAGACACGGACCAGACUCCUACGGGAGGCAGCAGUGAGGAAUAUUGGUCAAUGGGCGAGAGCCUGAACCAGCCAAGUCGCGUGCAGGACGACUGCCCUAUGGGUUGUAAACUGCUUUUAUAUAGGAAUAAUUGUUUUUACGUGUAAGAAUUUGAAUGUACUAUAUGAAUAAGCACCGGCUAACUCCGUGCCAGCAGCCGCGGUAAUACGGAGGGUGCAAGCGUUAUCCGGAUUUAUUGGGUUUAAAGGGUGCGUAGGCGGGUUCAUAAGUCAGUGGUGAAAGUCUGUCGCUUAACGAUAGAAUUGCCAUUGAAACUGUGGAUCUUGAAUACAGUAGAGGUAGGCGGAAUAUAUUGUGUAGCGGUGAAAUGCAUAGAUACGAUAUAGAACACCUAUUGCGAAGGCAGCUUACUAUGCUGUAAUUGACGCUGAUGCACGAAAGCGUGGGGAGCGAACAGG